rnacentral:rRNA from 1 species
UACGUAGGGUGCGAGCGUUGUCCGGAUUGAUUGGGCGUAAAGAGCUCGUAGGCGGCUCGUUGCGUCGGCUGUGAAAACCCGCAGCUCAACUGUGGGCCUGCAGCUGAUACGGGCGGGCUGGAGUUCGGUAGGGGAGACUGGAAUUCCUGGUGUAGCGGUGAAAUGCGCAGAUAUCAGGAGGAACACCGGUGGCGAAGGCGGGUCUCUGGGCCGAUACUGACGCUGAGGAGCGAAAGCGUGGGGAGCGAACAGG